UCCACUUGAUGGGAUCGAUUCCAACCUUUGGAAUCGACUCGAUUCUCAACGCCUCGGAAUCGAGGAAUCGAUUCUUUUUGGAAUCGAUUCUUUUUGGAAUCGAUUCCCAGCUCUACUUAUUUACCACAACGGGUGAUGAGGGUGUCUCCUAGUAUCCGCCCAUCGUUCUAUAGCUGUCUUUACGUUAAACGAUCAAUUUCUGGGAAAUCGCUUAUACAGAGUGACCGAACCGAACCCGUUGUUUCACUUUUAUUUUCACUUUAGAGUCAGCAUCACGGAUUCGCCAGUGAGAGAACACGCCCCGUCUCUGGACCAUGUAUGGUGAAAAAGAUAACCAAGUAGCCUAUCACACAGGAGGAGCCUAUGUAUGGGGGGUUGCAAGCCUUUUGCUCCAGUUGUGUUGAGACUACUACAGCAUAGACCUCGCUAAACUAUCGUGACUGGAAUAUUGGCUGAACUAGUGUCUGGAGGUCUGGGGUUUCAUCAUGAGACGCAGCUACCAGAGCGGAUUCUUCAAAGUGAAGAUGCCAGAUGUGUGAUGGUUGGCUGUUUUGCUGUUGGAGGAGCAUCAGUUGAUGCAUAUAUUAGGAUGCUGGGCUGUACUCUAACCAAUGAACUGGCUUCUCAGAAGAACUGGGCAGUAGGAGACCGAAAGAUCAGCAUGAACAACAACAACAAAAAAACUCAUUUAGAGACACCAGGCUCCAAGAUGUGCAUGUCAUGGCGUGCAGCAGGCUCAUGUCCGCUCCGGUGUGUCUCAUUGAAAAUGAUGAAAAUGGGCUGCUGUGUGUGAGAAAAGAGGCCAAAGACAUUCUGGAUGGGAUCAGUGAGCCGGUGGUGGUGGUGUCUGUGGUGGGACUCUAUCGUACGGGGAAGUCUUACCUUAUGAACCGCCUGGCAGGACAACAGUCCAUUUUUCAGAAAUGCUGAAAGUCUUUCUCAAGUGUGGUGCAGAUAUGAUGAUGAGGACAGAACAAAUGAGUGUGUCUGUAUCGAAGUAUCUGAAAACACUACCUACAUUAAAAUCAGAGCAUUUUAUGAAAAACAACAGUAAUAAAACAAUAUAAAAUAAAGCAAUAGAGCAAUAUAAUAAUAAAACAAGAAUAACAGGUGAAUGAUUGUGUGUGUCCUACGCUCUACUUUCCUUUUCUCUUUAUACAGACUUAAAU